rnacentral:rRNA from 1 species
AUUGAACGCUGGCGGCAGGCCUAACACAUGCAAGUCGAGCGAGCGGCGGACGGGUGAGUAAUGUAUGGGGGAUGCCCGAGAGGGGGGGAUAAAUACUGGAAAAGGUAGCGAAUACCGCAUACUAUCGGAUAACCCAUAUGGGAUUAGCUAGUAGGUGAGGUAAUGGCUCACCUAGGCGACGAUCCCUAGCUGGUCUGAGCGGAUGAGCAGCCACACUGGGACUGAGACACGGCCCAGACUCCUACGGAGGCAGCAGUGGGGAAUAUUGCACAAUGGGCGCAAGCCUGAUGCAGCCAUGCCGCGUGUAUGAAGAAGGCCUUAGGGUUGUAAAGUACUUUCAGUCGGGAGGCGUUACCGACAGAAGAAGCACCGGCUAACUCCGUGCCAGCAGCCGCGGUAAUAC